CCUACGGGGAGCAGCAGUGAGGAAUCUUGGUCAAUGGGCGCGAGCCUGAACCAGCCAAGUAGCGUGAAGGAUGACUGCCCUACGGGUUGUAAACUUCUUUUAUAAAGGAAUAAAGUGAUGCCCUUGUGCCUUUUUGUAUGUACUUUAUGAAUAAGGAUCGGCUAACUCGGUGCCAGCAGCCGCGGUAAUACGGAGGAUCCGAGCGUUAUCCGGAUUUAUUUGGAUUAAAGGGAGCGUAGAUGGGUUGUUAAGUCAGUUGUGAAAGUUUGCGGCUCAACCGUAAAAUUGCAAUUGAUACUGGCAGCCUUGAGUACAGUUGAGGUAGGCGGAAUUCGUGGUGUAGCGGUGAAAUGCUUAGAUAUCACGAAGAACUCCGAUUGCGAAGGCAGCCUACUAAACUGCCACUGACAUUGAUGCUCGAAAGUGUGGGUAUCAAACAGGAUUAGAUACCCCUGUAGUC
rnacentral:rRNA from 1 species